UAGAUAACUCGGGUAUCACA
rnacentral:miRNA from 1 species